CUCUCUCUUUGUUAGUUUCAUCCACAACUCGGUAUCUCAGCCGAGUCAACUCAGCCAAGCGCUCCACGAAGCAACGGCCUCGAUUCGUUCAAAAACUGGAGAUUGUUAUCCCUCAUGCCCACAUGGCAGCACCUCUGGACCUCCUCGACGCUCCAGAACGGACACGGGGCACCGGUUUCGGGGCGGGAGACGACCAGGAGGAUCUCCUCGAACGUGGACUCGUCACAGGGGAUAGUUAACGGGCCCACGUGGCUGAAACCGUACUCCUCUUCGGCUUGCACGAGGAGCUUCUUGAACACGGGGUGGUUCAGGUACGUCGCGCGCACGAUGAACCUCCUAGAGC
rnacentral:lncRNA from 1 species